GUAGAGAGGAGACAUUUUGUUUGAAGUGGCAGCAGAGGAGAAACCCGCAUAGAUCACAUGACCGACCACUUCAAUGAGGAUGGAAGAGGAUUGGAGUCACAUAACUGAGAGGAUACGAAACCUCACCCUGGAGAUCAUCUGCCUGCUGAACGGAGAGAGUUCGCCUCCUAUAAAAUCUGGUGAUCAUAUGACCAUCACAGUGCCUCUACCUCACUCUCUGAAACCUGAGAGACACAACAUGGAGAAGAUUCUAGAA